CGGCGCACAAGGUAUUUUGCGUUUAUGCAGGGUUCGGGGAACGGCCGCAUCUCAAGAGGGUGUGAUAUAGACAAUCUAUCUUAAUGCAAUCAUUAGUGGUUAUUUCCUCAACUCACACCCGUGACCUAUAAGUCAUACAGAGACAACUUUACUAUUGCUCUAAUACUCCCCUUCCCAUCUAACAACAACAACAACAACAAUAAAAUGUAAUCCUACAAAUGGGGUCUACGAAGGGUAAUAUCUACAUAGACCUUAUCCCUACCUGGCAAAGAUAGAAAGACUGUUUCUGAUAAAAACUCGGCUCAAGAAUCAAUCUAACACUGUAAAUACUGAAAAACAAUACAUACAAAAGGGUAACAAAAGUCUCAUCUUACAAACAAAAAAAAAAUAGAUGAUUCCACAUCAUGUCUGAGGAAGAAACAUAGUACAAAGCCAUAAAAAAAACACAGAGAAAGAUAAGCAAAGAGGACAAUUUCACUACACACUAAGACUUACGUUGGACAAAUUUACGUGGUUUUUUAGAUUUAACAGGCUUACCAAAUAUGCCACAAAUACCACAACUAGAUACCUUAGGAGAUGGAGGAUCAAUGGACGGUUCCAUGUAGUUAUCUUUAGAGCGAUAACUAAUACGAGGUUUUUGUUCUGACGAUGAUGGAGAUUUUUGUUCUUUCUUGUGUUGUUCUUGACUAUGAUCAUGAGUUGAAAUUUUGUUGAGUUCCCCAGAUAAUAAUUUAUCAUCCCAUAUUAAACCUGAUGAACCUUGUCUUCUAAAUGAUAUUUCUGACCUUGGCAAUAUUUCUCCUGUAGUUGAAGCCAUGAAACUUUAUUCUUGUUCUUCUUCUUGAUCUAAUAAGGGGAAUUCUUGAUUUGAAGAUAUCAAGGUGAAUUUGAGUCAAAAGGAUUUGUUCAAUCUUGAUAUACUAUAAGAAAUUAUAAGAUAUGAAAAGAUUGAUUAGUUGGACAAUGAUGUGAUCAUAAACUAGUGUUUGAAAUUACUUGUUUGCCCUUUGAAAUUAAUGAAACUAUUUUUGAAGAUUUAACAAGACUAGCCCGUUUGGCUAUGCAAUUUGUUUUUCAAUAUUUUUCGAAAUUAGUGUUUGGCCAUAAAAUUUUUAAUUUUCACUUGAAAAUAUGAAUUUUGGAAUUUUUGAAAAUUUUGAAAAACUACAAAAAACUAUUUUUCAAAAUUCACUCAAAUCACUAACAAAAAUUCAAAAACAACCACAAAUUAUAUUCAUGUCCAAAUAUAACUCUAAUUUUUAAAUACCACUUUCACUUCAAAAAAAAUUCAAUUUUUUUCCAGAAUUUUACAAUUCUUAAGUCUAGACGCCCACUAAAUUCUUUCUUCCGUCCUUACUCGAGAACUAUUGCCUACGAUCAUAAAUGGUAGGGUUCAAGUGAUAUUGAUUGACUGUAUAUAGGAUUUGGUAAUUAAUAAUUUGAAUUUUUUUUCUCGCCUGGUGUCCGAUAUAGGCAUUGUGAUCUGAUUAAAUUCGGGAUCGCACUGGAAGGUCUCGCAUUUGAGGAUUAUAAUUCGCUCCCUAACAAAAACGAAUCUAUACCCAAGACUCGAACCCGAGAUAAUAUGAUAUAAGACUUGUAAUUUCAAUCCGACAAAUAGGUUAGAUAUGAAGGUAGUAAGGAAGCACAAACAUGGACGACAGUCAAAAUUAUAGUAUAAAAGUAGCAGCCAUCUUUGAAUAGAAAAUUUGUUUUCAAAAUUUCAUGAAAAACAAUAUGAGUAAGAAAAUGUCACUAGUUUGAAAAAAAAAAUAUGAGUAAGAAAAUGUCACUAGCAAAUACAGUGAUUUUUUAUUUUAAAUCUUCCAGAUUAUUUCGAUGUGAUUGAUUUGAUUAUUUGGGGAAGUCUCUAAAAUUACGUUCAUUUUUCCUCGUGCUAGUUGUUUUAUCUAUGUUUGGGUAACGAGUUAGAAGUUAAUGAGGUUUAGUAUGGAGUGAUAACGUAUUAAUAUGUCGAGUAAUUACUUGAAAAACAUAAGAUUUUCCAAUGAAUUAAUAAUUAAAGUAAAAAAAUGAAUUAAUCUUUUUUUUAAUUUCCUACCCGAUUUUUAGUACCCAUCUUGGAUCCGACUAAUCCGGAUUCGUACAGAAAAAUCUUACAAUGGGGUUAAAACGCAUUCCCAAGGCUCAAAUCCGAAACUUCUAAUUUAAGUCUUACAAUGAGGUAAAACACUCUUAUGGGGUAAAACACAUUUCCAAUGCUCAAAUCCGAAACUUCUAAUUUAAGUCAUACAGUGGGGGCAAAACACACUCUCAGCCAAAGGAAACUCCAUUUCCAAGGCUUCAAACUAAGGCUUCUAGUAACAUUACUCCCUCCCUCCGUCUCGAAUUAUCUGUCGUGAUUUUUAAAAAUAGUUGUCUCAAAUUGAUUGUCAUCUUAGAAGUUCAAAACUAAAUUAAUUAUUUUUUUCUAUUUUAUCUUUAAUAUUAAUUGUUCUUGAAAACUACAAAUAACUCAAUUAUAAGUAAAUAUUAAAGGAAGAUAGAUUAUAUCUUAAGACAUAAAUAAGGGUAAACGGUCAAAAACCUCUCCUAUUUAAUAUUUUCUUAAGAGACGCGUAAAAGAGAAACACGACAGAUAAUUUGAAAUUUGAGACUGAGGGACUAUCAUGGUAAAAGGCUAUAUUCCAUCUACCUAUGCUACUCCAUUGCACAAUUUCUUCUACCAAAUACUCAUGACACAUGCAUGGACUUGGUUGAUUCAAAAUCUUGUGAAGUUUCAAGCACCUCUACAAAAACAUUUACCAUUUUCACUUCCAUUUAACACUCUCAAAACAAAACUUUGCACCAAGCUACAGUAAAACCUUUUCAGAACUAAGUUUACAUCAUUAUACUACAGAAAUCCUUUCAGAUAUGUUUCAUCAAGCCCUUAGUAAUUCUACUAAUUGCUGAAGUUCACUACUGAACUCAGCCUCCUUUUGUCUUUGAGAAUUUCACUCAGAGGUUUUGGACCUGAAAAAUCUUCUCUUUCACUUCCUCCAGAUGGCACAGUUCUCUCAAAAGAAUUUCCAUCUUCUCUUCCUUUAAUCUUUUCUUCUCUAAUUUGAGCUAGUGUCUUUGGUCCACCAAAGAUCUUAGGAACUUCAGUCGAUCUCUGCCUAGAAGCCAUCCUCCUAGGGGUUUCAUUUGCAAAAGGCUGUGACCUGCCCCGUCUCCUGUCCUUGAAAUGCUGCUGCCUGUAACUGCUUCUGUGGGAUUGUCUCAACUUCUUCAGUUGAUUGGCACCCUCCAGACGAGUGGCAUCCACAAAACCGGAGGAGAAAGAAGAGUUGCUUUCCAAUUUUGAAGCCAGACUCUGAGGCAUCCACCGAGAACCCUGUGGCCGAUGCCUAUCCCUGCAUUGCUCACGAGCAUUAAACCUAGACAGGUCUAACCUUCUAGACAAGUAAUUUGGAGGAUCACUUUCAAUGACUCGACGCUUCUUCAGAAGGUCCCGGAGGUCCACAUUGCCUCUGGCACAAAAACCCGGUUCUCUAGGAAACUUUCUUUUAUGUGGUAUACUCUGUCUUCCAUGAGCAGGGAUAACAAUUUCUCUUGCAUAUUCAUUUACUUCAUGACUCUCAACUUUACUAUAAUAAGAAUCAUCUAGUUCUUCGUCGGACACAAUUCUCAUGUCUGGAUAUGCAGGAUCAUACUCAAGGUUGUUCUCAAAAUCAUAUCCAGCAAACCGCUCGUCACACUCCCUAUCAUGCUGCAGUAGGUAACUAUGAUCAUCUUUGUGACUCCAACCUUCUAUUCUAUCAUCAACAAGAACAUCAAAACCAGGAGAUGAUUCCAACCACUCCUCUCUCUCCACAUUGUCCUCCACUUCUUCGUCUGAGCUCCAGUCGGGGGACAAAUCGGAUCCUCCUUGGGUAAAGCCUUCAGCAGGGACUAAGGAAUCUAACCUUACUGCAGUAGCUUCUUCAGAAGGAGAUCCUGAAGUCUCAUGAGAAGCACUCUGCUCACCUACAUCAUUAGUCAUCGAGAUGAGAUCCACUUGUGACUUGAUAUAUUCAUGUGCUGCUGCCUUGGAUCCAGUUUCAGAAGAAUUAGAGGGCUUCUCCACUGAUGCAGGACCAGUUUCACUUCCUACAGAUGUCUUUUUCUCAGCUGUUGGUCCAUCAGGGACUCCAGACGCUAUUUUCGAGGAUUUCCAUGUGGUUGUACCAUCAUCAGGUCCAUGCAGAAAUGAACAUCUUUCACCUUUAAUGCAAUAGCCAUUGAAAUAGAAGUAACAGGGAACAUUUGUCUUGUUAACAGGCACUGCAGAUUUAUGUUGUGGAGGAGCAGAUUCAGAUGAUGUCUCAGCAUGGCUCUCUAAUGGCUGAGGAAAUGAAAAGGAAAAAAUUAACACAAUCAAAGAAUUAAAAAUAUCAAGUUCAAGAAGCAAUUUUAUACAGGUUAGAAACAAGGACAUGAAAGAUCAGAGAAAAACAUUGCUUUAAAGCAUCAAAUUUCUUGUUAGCUUGGUACUUAAGUAACCCAAUUAAGUCGUACAAGGCAAUGACCAACCAAAUGAGAAAUCAGACGCAAAAACCUUCAGACUCGGGAAGAUCUAACGACCAGCCUCCAGGUACUUUUUCUUUGUUUUUUGGGGUAUGGUAAAUCCACCUCCAAAACCGGCCUGCCUAACACUAACCUUUAUCCGCUUUGCUUCCUUAAUGAGUAGAAUCCCCAACCUCAUGGUUGGAGGUGGGUGGUCCCGAAAACUGCAGUUUUCUUUCUUUUCUAGUUCUUCUCCCUAUACAGAUGCUUUUUAUACAAGAUUCUUAGUUGGUGGGGAAAGAGAAUUAGUUUCGAAUUUCGAUUAAGCUAUCCCUCCUCAUCAGCCAGUCUCCGGUACUUAACUCAUUUAUACCCCCAAAGCCUCUUUUCUGUUCCACCAGAAGAAUUAAUAUGAGCACAUCUUAGCGCCUUAUAUAUGCAUACAGAAUUCGUUAACAUUCAUUUCUAUCAGAAUUAAACAUCAAAAUCUUACAGCCAAGUGACAACCAAAAGGAGAAAGAAUGUUAUAUGAUAGUGUUCGUAUGUAUAAACCACUAACUAGAAGCGAGAUAGAUUACUGUAUUCUCCUGUGGCUUGAAAACGAUGAAGUCUUUUGUGUCAGAGUAACAAGAAGAAGGUAAAUCAGUCACCGAGGCAUUAAGAUUCAGGGGAAUGAAGGCGCAGAACCAACGUUUCUUCAACCGACAGAAUUUGGAGGAGUUAAAAUUAUGCUUCUGAACUGUUCAUGUUGCAAUCUUUUGUAUAUUACUUGAAUCCAUUUUGCUAGAUCUUACGCAGGUUUUUGCAGAAUUCUGCUGGUAAUCUCAUAGUUUACAUACAAGCAAGAAUAACUAUUGUUUCUUUAAAUAGUUUACAUAUGACAUUUAAAGAAAAACUAUUGUUUCUUUAAAUAUUUUACACUAUUGUUUGUAUAUUACUUGAAUCCAUUUUGUUAGAUCUUACGCAGAUUUUUGCAGAAUUCUGCUGGUAAUCUCAUAGUUUACAUACAAGCAAAGAAUAACAAUUGUUUCUUUAAAUAUUUUACAUAUGACAUGAGGUUUUGCGAACUUCACAUAAAUAAAUCAUUCAGCAGAAAGGGCUACAGACAUAAUUUCUGAUGAAUGCUUUCUUUUCUUUUUCAAAGUAAUGUCAGUUUCAAGAUACUCGCAUAAAACCAAUAAAGAAAAGGAAAUAUUCAUUUCCAUUUAUAGGGUUUACACAACUCCCUCAAAACAACAACUCCUGCAAAAGGGAAUUUUUGGGCCCCCACACCUUGAGAAGGAACAUGAAAUAAGGGAGACAGGGGACUUAAAAAGGAUGCCAAACAAAUUAUCUAAUCCCAUUAAAGAAUUUACACAAACAAGAUAGUACAACAUAUGGAAACCCCACAAACUAAUAUCAAACUUAAAUUUGACAUUACCUGAUCAAACUCAUGUAAACUUGCAUAAGUGAAUGCAGUAAUAGCAGCACACGAAAGAAGGGACCCACUAUCCCAACACCUCAGGGUGACCCAACCUGAGUUUUUUCUUUUAGUAAUAGGUAAUGCAUAGGACAAUUACACUUUGUCUACCUAAGCUCUAGAAUGGUAGAAAAAAACACGGCAUAAAAAGUAGGCUACCACAGUUGGAUGUAAGUAAAGUAAUAAAUAAAAUUUGCUGAGAAAGCUUUACAGAUAAAUACUUGGUAGAUUGUUGUUUGACGGAGUAAGGCAAAUCAUUUUGAAAGAGAUAUCCAACUCUAGAUAUUUCAACCGCAUUUUCUAAGGUUUAGUUAGAAUAUAUGAUUUCCAGAACAUGAAACUCUUGAUGAAUAAAAAAUAUAUAUGAAGAGGAUGAGUCAGAACAAGUAAAGAAUAAAAGAGAUGCUCGUGAAAACUUAAACCUUUAGAUAAUUGCACUGGUUUUUUUCAACAGUUCAGUGAUUUGGGAAUUCCGAGAAUAUCGAGGUUUCAAAUAUCGUGUUAGUCCUACGGAAUGUUGCAUUGUACUCUUCUCGAAAAAAGAAUUUGGAACUUGAGCUCUAAGCUUGUUGAAAUUCCCGAGUCACGGUUGCCAUGGUUUUGGCUGACACAGGUCUUGAGGAGCCCGCAAUUCUUAUGGUGAUCUAUGUUUCUUGACUCCUGAUGGUAUCUUGUUUUCUUGGCUGACACAGGUCUUGAGGAGCUAGUAAAUUUUAGGGAGAUCUAUAUUUCCUGACUGUUGAUAUAGGAAAAGUGCUUCUUCGACAUGAAGCUAUCUCACUUUGUCUUUUCAUGAGAAGAGUGCAGUGCAACAUUCUUUAGGAGCAACAGGAUAUUUGAAACAGCAGAGUCCUCGAAAUGCCCAAAUCACUGAACUGACUAGAAGGCCAAUGCAGUUAUCCAAAGGUUUAACUGCACCAAAAUCUCUUUAUUUUUUACUUGAUUUGAUCAUCCUUUUAAUAUAUCUUUUAUUCACAAAAAACAUGAUAUGGAUAUCAUAUACUUUAACAAAAUCUUAAAAGAAAAUGAUAUUGAUAUAUUUAGAAUUGAAUAUUCUCUUUCAAAAUGGUUUCCCUUACACCAUCAGGCAGGACUCUAUCAAGUAUAUCUGAAUUCUCAGUGCAUCUAGCUAUGGUAGCCUACUUUUUAGGUGAUGGUGGCGGUUCUACCAUUUUAGAGGUUAGGUAGACCGUAGACACAGUGUAAUUCUCCUACGUGAUAGGCUAACACUAAUACCCUAUCAAAACAAAAAGAUAGGCAAUAGUAAUAUUCUUAUAUUUUGAAAGAAGAAACAGUCAAAAUAUGUUUAAACUUGAUACACUAUUUUAAGUUGGGAGAAAGUGUCAAGCCGAAACAAAAGCAUAGUUUAUUUUUGUCGCAUUUUUGCAUUACUUAUAUGUCAAAGUCAGCACAGACAUCAAUUUCAAGGCAUAGCAGCUUCGUGCUUACCGGAUGCCGAAAAGCACAUGUUGGGUUAAGACAGCUUUCCGCCAGCCAGUACCAACAAUCCCUAGGGUUGAGCCUAGCUAUCUCACUAUGUCGAUAUUCACAUUCUAUUCCCUGGAACAAAAAUCCAUAUCACAAAACUCAGAUACAAUAAUUGAAAUAAUGAGUCAAGAAUGCACAUAAAACAAAAAUACUCAUGACAGAGUAAACCAAGAUAACCAGGUAUAAUACUUGAUACGAUGAGUCAAGAAUGCACAAGUAAGAAAACAUCUAAGAUUACCGACACUGGUGCAUAAGUUAAACAACAACGAUAAGUGUUCAUUGUAUUAAGGCUACUACUGUGAUCGUUGUGAUUCCAUCAUCUCUAAACCAUAACUGAUUAGACUUGAACUAAAAAACUAAAAUUACAAAAUAGAAAAUGAGUAAAGACCACUUAACCACAAUAAUGGACAGUAUUCUAAUAGAUAGAUAGUAUGACUUCAGUAACCACAGUAGGAUCACCGAAUCCAUUUACUUGUAAACGUCUAAAUAACACGCAAAUCUUCAACCCACUGAAUUCCCCUAGCAUGAACUCACCACUGAACCAUUCCAUUGUAAAGAAAAUCCAAGAAAUCAAUGCAACCUAAACCAGACAAAAAAUACAUCAAACAGUGUAUAAAGACCCAUACACACACAGAAUACACAUACAUUCUCCGUUUCAAUUUUAUACUAUAGUGUUUGCUAGACACAAAGUUUAACAUAUAAAUUUGAAUUUAAGUUCCAUACACUGAUAGUGUAAUUCAGUAAUUUACAAUGUAUGAUCGUAGGUUAGCUACCAUUUUUACUAGAUCACGGGUUAAUGCUCAUCAAGAGACUUACUAUCAAUUUAAGGUGUAUAGUAUAUCAGUGAUAACAUACAAAAAUACUCACUUAAUUGAUAAAGAGAACAUAACAUCAAAAUUGAAAAGGAAAAUAAGAUAAGUGAAUAUAAACACUUGAGAAUUAUAGAAAUUCUACAGAACAAUAUUAUUAGUGGAAUCACAUCAAACAUUUUAGCAUGUUUCAAAAUAAAAAAGUGCAAACACCAUAUAAAUUGGAACCCGUGUUAGAAAUGCAAGGAAAUUAAUACAUCGCCUUGUAAUACGAAAUGCGUUCAUCCAACAUUUUCCACAAAUUCUUGAACAAUUAAAUAGGAAGUCAAAUAAAUGCGAAAUUCGAAGAAAUGCAAAUGAAAAAAGAGAUAAAUACAGAAAAUUAUACCUUCUUGCAAGUGAGGGGAGAGGCUAAAAAAUAUACACAAUCAGUGUUGCGCUUUAACAAUUCUUCCUCCAUUUUUCCCCCUACAAUUUGAUUGAUUAUACAAAAUGUUCAAAUUUCAAAGCAUAACGUACAAUAUAACGUGAUAAAAUAUACAAUGAAGCCCUCAAUCCGCAUAUAUAUGGUGUUUUCGAGUUUUAUAGAAGCUAACGCUUGGGGUUUAUAUAUAUUUAUAUAUAUUAAUAAUAUUAAUUUUAUGAUUUCUUUUUUGGGUUAUGGUCCUUGCUUUUUCGGCAUGCUUCAUUGUUUGCCCGGUAAUUGUUUUUAAAUGUCCUAUUCAAUUUUCGUAUUUAAAAAUUCUUAUUUUAUUCUUAAUAUUUAAUAAGAAGGUAACUAAUAAAGUUACAGUCAUGUGAUCAGGAGGUCACUGGUUCGAGCCGUAAAAAUAGACUUUUGCAGAAAUGCAGGAUAAUGUUAUGUACAAUAGAUCUUUGUGAUCCGACUCUUCCCCGGACCCCGCCCAUAACGGGAUCGUUUUACCAUAUAAAGUGAAAUUUCUCCGCACGAAUCCAAAUAUAAUCGGGUUCCAAUGUUUGACUUAAAUUGCAUCUUCGGGUAGAGUCUAGCUAUCUCACAAUGUCGAUAUUCACAUUCUAUUCCCUAGUGUUGAGUAUUGAGAUUUUGAUGAUUAACAAAGUUUGUUUAGAUGCAAUGUUCGAAAAACUAGGUCCUCAACGUAGUUGCUUAAUUAUUCUAAGAACCAGCUCCUUUGGUUGAUGAUUGUACGUCUAUGCAAGAUAGUAACUUUAUCUCAAAGUUACCUAGGUCCAAGUUUGGUGGAAGAAGGUUGCUACAAGUGAUAGGGUUGUUGCUUAAGAAAAUACGAAUAAAUUAGUAAGAGGCAAGAGUCCCAAAACUUGUGGAGUCCUUAAAACAGUAGGAGUCCUAUCAAACGAGAAGUUGAUUAUGCAUAGGACUCCUAAAAUAUCUUGAAGUCCAUGCGUUUAAAUACUAUCUAUUUUGGACUUCUAAGAUUAACCUUUUACACAUCAACCGAAGAACUACAUUUUGUUCACUCUAAUUUAGUACUAAUGUUGUGUUCUUCUUGAGUCAGUCUAGUGAAUGUGUUUUAGGAAAUUGAUUUGUAAUCAAAGUGUCACAAAUAAUUAGUGAGAUGGAGUGAGUGUUUGCUUUACAAGUUAGAGUAACUUGUAAAUCAAAUAGUCGUAGUAGCAGUACUGGAGAGUAUUGAAUUAUAGUCUUGUAAUUGAUACAUUUUGGCUCAUUUUUCUUGUGGAGUUGAAGUUGAAAAUCCUACGCAGUAGGUCAUAAUUUUUACACCUCUUGAGCCGGGUGAUUUUUCACGUAAAAAUUAUUGUGUUUACUUUAUUGCUUAUUUUACCUCACGUUUAAGGAACACGGUAAAGAAUCAAGUUCUUUAGUAAUUCAUAUGGGCACUCAAAUUAACAGUUGGUAUCAGAGCAGGUUCUCUCUCACACACGACUAACACCUAGAGAGAUCUUAAAAGCAAGAUGAGUGCUCCAUGCGAAAUUAAUGAAGGGCAAUCAACUACCAGACCACCCAUGUUUAAUAAAAAUAUUACAGUUGGUGGAAAGCAAGAAUGGAAGACUUCUUGACAGCUUAAGACAAUGAACUAUGGACCAUAGUGAAGUAAGGUCCAUUGACUCCUGCUAAACAAAAUGCACAAAAUGAAACAGUUCCUAAGGACCCCUCUGAAUUUGUGCCAUCAUAUUUCAGAAUGAUAGAGAAGAAUGCAAAGGCUAAGAAAAUCCUUAUCUGUUAACUUGGUCUUGAUGAGUACAACAAAAAUUUUCAUGCUCUAAUGUAAAUGAGAUAUGGGAUGCACUCCAAACUUCUCAUGAAGGAACAAACCAAGUGAAGAGAUCAAGGAUAGAACUACUUACAAGAAACUAUGAGCUCUUGUCCAUGAAGUUGUUUGAGCCCAUCGAGGAGAUGAUGACUAGGUUUACCAUAAUAACUAAUAAACUGAAAUUACUUGGAAAGGUGUUUACCUCAGAAGAGUUAGUCAGCAAAGUUCUAAGUAUCCUUCUAACUUCAUGGGAAUCAAAAGUCAUGGCGAUCUAGGAAGCCAAGGAGCUGGACAAAAUAUCACUUGAUGAGUUGGUUGGAAACUUAAAGACUCAUGAAAUGAGGAAAAUAGAACUGUACAAGGAAGAACCAAAGAGGGAUAAGGCCUUAGUCCUUAAAGCAUCUGAGGAAGAUAAAUUUGACAAUGAUGAUCCUGACCUAGCAAUGUUUGAUAAGUUCAAGAGGUUCAUGAAGAACUCCAAAAGUGUAUCUAAGAGUGAGACCAACAGUAAGCCUAAGCAGAUUGACAAAGCUAAUUAUAAUGGGUGCUACAAGUGUAGCAUGCUAGAUCACAUGGUCAAGGACUUCCCAAUGUAGGAAAUUUGGUGGAGGAAAGAAUGAGCUAAAAGGGAAAAACGUGAGAAGAUGAGAGAAUAUGGUUCCAACAAAGGAAAAAUCCUAGGUAAUGGAUUCACUGAAGCAAUGAAGCAUGCCUUCUUGGAAGCAUAUGAUGACAGUGGAAGCUAUCAAGAGGAAGAAAAGGAGGAUGGGAUAUAAGUCUCUAUGUUGUAAUUGAUGAACAUCAUACAAUGGAGACAGAGCCUCCAGUACAUCUUGGAAUGCACAUUGUAAGACAUCCUCUAUUUGAUGGACACCACUAUGAUGAAUGUAAGUUACGUGUGGAAACAAUCCUUCAGGCCACUGACUUUGACCUAUGGGUAGGGCUGCUUAUCGGGCAGAUCGGGCGGUUAUUUACGCUUAACGGUUUGACCUAUUGGUUAUCGACUUAUAAAUGUAUGAGUACAUAUACCACUUGACAUUAAACAACUUAAAUUAAACACAUUUAUAUUAAUUUUCUUGAUCUAAACCUGCCUAAAAGUCUGAUGUUUUUUUGUUUUUGCAGUACCACUAUUUGUUUAACUGAUAUUCCUAUUUGCAAAUACAUUUAUAAUCACUGGUGUUAAUGAAAUAUAGAACUAUGGAAAGGGAAAUUUAAAAAUAAAAUCAAGAACAAUUGGAGGAGACAUCCAAAAUACAAUUCUUGCAGUUAACAGUUCUUCAAUUUCUGCAGCUUCAAAGUUCAAACAACUUGACUUGUUGUUCUGGUUAUGGCCGUAUGGAGAAAACGAGGAAGUGACUCGAUUCUUAGAGAAGAGAAUGUGCUUUUCGUUGAGUUAUUGUCUUGUUGGUGUCGCAACUCGCAAGAACUGUUUGGUUGAGUUGUUGCCUCAAGUUUAGAGACAUGUAGUACUCACGUUGAGACCUUGAGACCUUUCUGUGGAAUCUUUUGGUAGUUUGGUUGAGUUGUUGCCUUUCCUCAACCCUCAAGUUCAGAGAGUAGAGAGUAGAGACUGAGAGGUGAGCGCGGUGAGUAGAGAGUAGAGACUGAGAGGUGAGAGCGGUGAGAGAGAAUGUUUAUGACUGCUGAGGGAAAUUAGGAAUUUAAAUUUUAGGGUUUCAAAUAGUAGAAGAGAUAUUUAAUAUACAUAGGGAUAAAAAUAUAAAUAUAAAAAUUCUUAACGGGUUAACGGUUUAUCCGAUAAGAAAAUUAAAUAAUGCGCCCCCAAACUGAUAAGCCGUUAAUUAAAAUAUUUUAAUCCAUUCACCACCCAUUAAUCGGAUAACCUGAUAACCCGAUACCAAUAAGCUAAUUUUACGGUUCGGUUUUCGUUUUCAGUUCGGUUUUGAGCACCCCUACCUAUGGGUAAUUGUCAAUCAUGGACCAAUUCUCUUGACCAAAAUAGAUGUUGAAGGUAACAAGUGCAACAAGAGAUGAGAGGAAUACAAUGAUGACGAUCAUCAGCUAAUCCAGAAAAAUGCUAAAGCAAAGGACCUCCUUUACAGAAGCUUGCCUAGAAAUAUUAUCUACAAAGUGUCAUCUUUCAUCUCUACCCAUGAUAUAUAGAGGACCUUGAAAGCUGACUUUGGAGAUGAAAACAUCAAAGUGGCACUAAUGGCUAUUUAUGAAUCCCAAACAGAAGAAGAAGUGAUAAGAAUGAUGGCCAUGUGUAAUUCAAAAACUGAAGAUGAAACAAACCAGGUAAGUAUCUCUAACUUAAAAUAAAACAUCCAUGCUAUGUCUAAAAAAUAACCGAUGGCCAUAAUUGUGAGCAUGAUAAGUCAAAUGGAUAAAAUGAGUGAUGAAAAUGACCAGUUAAUAAGCAAUCUUUCAUGUGUCAAACUUGAUCUCAAAGAGCUUGAAUCUGACAAAGCUAAAUUAGCUAAUCUAAAAGUGACAAGUCUCUUGAUAUACAUGGUAAGGGAAAAAUGAGUGAUCAGCAGAAAAAGCUUGAAAAAUAAUUAAAAAGGGCUAAAGAUAAUCUUUGUGAUGCUGAACGUAGGAAUAAAGCCCUGUAAGAAAAUCUAGAAAAGGCUAAUUAUGAACUAUAUAGACUAAGGAAAUGGCAUAGAUCUUCAAAUGCUUUGAAUUGGCUGAAUAAAAACUGCAGCUCUAACAAAUCAGAAAUUGACGACAGAAAACUUGUUCCCAAGUUUGAUCCAAAGUAUGUAGGAAUUUAUUAUAAUAAAAUGUGCACUCAUUGUGGAAAGGUAGGACACUUUAGAGAUACUUGUCAUGUCCUAAUUCAUGCUCAGUUUAGAAACACCUUUGGUAUUGCUAAAAGUGUGAAGAAGGAAGAGGAGCCAAAAGCCAAGCCUUUUGUGCAUACUAAAUGGAUUAAGGUUAAUAAGAAAAUAGCUUCUAAUCCUCUUCCCUUCUAGGUAAGAAGAGAUCUGAUUCAUCCGUUUCCAAACAAAAAGGGACCCAAGCUUGUCUGGGUUUCCAAGACUAACUUGUGAUUUCUGGUGCAUACUAAAGUGAGAGGGAACAAUCAAGACUGGUAUCUAGACAGUGGAUGCUCAAGGCAUAUGACUAGAGAGAAUAAAACUUCCUCUCACUAACAGCCUUCUAAGGGGGGAGUGUGUUAUUUGGAAAUGGGAAAAAAGCCUAGAGAACGUAUUGGCAAAGUUGGUAAGUCAAUCUCUCAAGUUAUAGAAGAUGUGUAUUAUUUGGUAGGCCUUAAACAUAAUCUUCAUAGCAUCUCUCAAAUGUGUGACAAAGGAAAUAAAGUAAAAUUCAAUUCCAAAAUCUGCACUAUCACUAAGCUUGAUACUGAUGAAGUUGUGGUAAAAGGUACGAGACAUAACAAUAUUUACAAGAUAUCUAUUAUGUCUCUACCCCAGAGUGAGCAUACAUGCUUAAGUGUAGUGGAAGAUGACCUACUGCUAUGGCAUAGAAGAUUGGGUCAUGCUAGUCUUUCUCAACUCAAUAAGUUGGUAGCAAAGGACUUGAUCCUUGGUCUACCAAAAGUUGAGUUCUCUUCAAACAAGGUUUGGUCUACCAAAAGUUGUCAGCACCUCCAAACCUCUGGAACUCCUUUACAUUGACCUAUGCGGACCAAUGAGAGUGAGGAGCAGAGGAGGUAAGAUGUAUGUUUUUGUCAUUGUAGAUGACUUCUCUAGGUAUACUUGGACUCUGAUUUUGGGAUCUAAAGAUAAAACCAUUGAUGUUUUUUGUGUAUUUGUCAGAAUAAUUCAACAUAAACUGGGUUGCAAUGUAUUAAGUAUAAGAACAGACCAUGGAACUAAGUUUAAAAAUUCCAAAUUCCUUGAGUUCUGUAACUCACAUGGUAUUGAUCAUAAUUUCUCUGUACCUAGAACUCUACAAUAAAAUUGGGUUGUAGAAAGAAAGAAUAUAUCCCUAAAAGAUAUGGGAAGGACCAUGUUGAUUGCUAGCGGACUGCCUAAGAGUUUCUGGGUUGAGGCUGUCAAUACUGCUUGUUACUUGCUGAACAGAUACAUGGUCAGACCUAUUCUUGAGAAAAAUCCCUAUGAGUUACUUCGAGGAAGAAAGCCCAACAUCACUCACCUGACAUCACUCGGGUGCAAAUGUUUUAUGUAUAAUAAUGGCAAAGAAGCUCUAGGUAAGUUUGAUGACAUAAGUGAUGAGAGAAUUUUCUUGGGUUACUCUCCACAUAAUAAGGCCUAUAAAGUUUUUAAUAAAAGAACUAUGUGUGUAGAGAAAAAUAUUCAUGUUAUUUUUUAUGUAUCUAACAAUUUAGCUGAGAAAGGUCUGCAGUAUGAAGACUAUGACAUAGGACUCACUGGUGAUGGAGUUCCUAAGGAAUCUGAACCUCAAUCUGAUGAUGGAUCCGUAGAAGACAAGGAAAUUGACAGUGAUCAUGAGGAACAAGAAGAAGAGAGAACUAGUUUGACUGCUAACCAGGCUGAUGAAGCUAUACCUAGUGUACAUAUUCCUUUGGGUCACUCCUUGGGUGAAUCUUCUAUGGGUAUAUAGAUCAUGCUAUGGAAAUAUCAAAGUUCACAUCCUCUUGAGAACAUCAUCUUUGAUCCAAAUGCAAGAGUGCAAACUAGGUCAUCUUUGAGAAAUCUAUGUGCACUCACAACAUUUCUCUCACAAGUUGAACCUAAGACCAUCAAGGAAGCUCAAGAGGAGCUAAAUCAAUUUGAAAGAAGAAAGGUUUGGUACUUGGUACAAAGACCCAAGAACAGAACUGUCAUAGGUACCAGAUGGGUGUUUAGAAAACAAGCUGGAUGAACAAGGAAAUGUCACAAGGAACAAGGCCAAACUGGUGGUUGAGGGAUAUAAUCAAGAGGAAGGUAUUGACUAUGAUGAGACGUUUGCACUUGUAGAUAUAAUGAAAGCUAUAAGAAUGCUAAUAGACUUUAUUUCACACAUGGAGUUCACCUUGUAUCAGAUGGAUGUAAAUAGUGCAUUCUUGAAUAGUUAUCUAAAAGAGGAAGUGUUUGUAAAGUAACAUCCUGGGUUUGAAAGUGAAGAAUUUCCUCACUAUAUGUUCAAGUUAGAUAAAGCCUUGUAUGGACUGAAAUAGGCUCCAAGAUCUUGCUAUGAAAGACUCUCAAAAUUCCUCUUAACCAACAACUUUGUAAGAGAACAGGUGGACAACACUCUGUUUUUUAGGAGCAAAGGCAGGAAUGUUUUGAUUGUGCAAGUGUAUGUGGAUGACAUUAUAUUUGGGGCUACUAAUGAAGCAAUGUGCAAGGAAUUUUUUGAGAUGAUGGAGAAUGAGUUUGAAAUGAGCAUGAUGGGUGAACUGAACUUCAUCUUAAGCUUGAUAAGUGUGGAUUUUGACCACUUAUUAGUACCUUUUUACUUUUAUUUUAGUCCGAAAGUGUUGAUUUAUGUUUUCAAAACUAAUGAAAGUAUGCAAAUUGCAGGAAUAUUGGAGAUUUGGGUUCAAAUGAAGAAAUCCAACUCAAAAAGGAGUGUUGCGUCUCACAAGGCAAGAAGGGGAGCAACAUACCAAAAUUGUGGUACGCAAAAGUAUUUCUGCUGCCGCAAAAGAAAGUGCGGACCGCAAAAUUCUCCUUGCGAUCGCAGAUCUAUUAUUGAAGCUCAUAUAUGGAAUGAAGAGAAGUGCGGCCGUAGAACAUGGUCGCACUGACAAGAAUUCAAAAAGUUCAAAGAGUGUGCAAAAUGACCAAGACUGAAGCCUUGUCUGAAGUACGAAGCAUACAUGAAUUGUGCGGCCGCAGAAGCUGAAGUGAAAGUGCAGAUCAAAUUGUGCGGCUGCAGAAUCUAUCUACCCGCAGACUCAAGCAAUGUGCGAAACCGUAGAACCUCUCGAAAGGCAUUUUUGUCAGCAAAAGUUUGGCCACUAUAAAUAGACGAGAAUCACCUUUUUAGGUCAAAUUUUGAAGUUUCUUAGCUGUAGCUGUUGUAGUUUACCAUUUUGAGUAAUUUGUGAUAAUUUUGGGACAACAAUAUCAUAGUUUAACAUUUUAAUUCUAUAUUAUGGCUUUAAUUAAUGUUUGUUCUUUGUUUUCUUCAUUUUCUACUAUGAGUAGCUAGAUACUUACUAUGUUGUGACCCAACCCUAAUGUGUAAACCUUAUGGAUAUUUAAUUUAAUGCUUGUUUAUAAUUGGGUAUUUAUUAUUUAGCUUUGUUCAUGCUUUAAUUUUAGAAUUAAUGAUUGCAAAUAUUGAUUCAUCACUUUUUGACUUGGUCUUUACUUGAAAAGAGGGACCUAGUCUAGGAAAACUUGGUUAACAAGAAAUUGGACUAGUUAAGGAUUUGGUUAGCCUAAUUAAAGGGUUUGAACCAGAGAUUGGAAAAACCCGCCUUGAGCUCAUUUCAACUAUUUAGCUUGAUACCCAUUAGGGCUUGAUAAAGCCAGAUUGGGCAUAAUCACUCUAUGACCAAGAGGUAUUUAGUGGAUAACUUAGAGUUGAGAGCUAUAUUACACCCUAAUCAAUAAAACAAGUGUUAACGUAAUUAACCCAUUAGGCGAAUACCUAGGCGAAGGUUACAUCCCUAGGAUUUUUACUUUUUGAAAACAAUCAAAAAUAAUUAGUCAACUUCUAGUUUCAUUUCUCUAGUUGAUCAUUGAUAGUGUAAUUCAUAGAAGUAAUUUGCAAAACCAACUUGAUUGGAAGUGUGUUUAAGCUGUUUCAUCUUCACGCAUCAAGUGUACACUCUAACACCCAUUGUUAGCUCCCUGAGGAAAUUGACCCCGACUCAUAGUUGGGCACUAUUCUUCCAAUGACCUCUUUCACUCAUUGUUGAGUGUGGACUGGGAGUGGAUCAAUUUUUGGCGCCAUUGUCGGGGAGUUAAAAUGAUGUUAUCUAUAUAUUUGAAUGUGUUUUUGGAAUAUCUUCUUUCCCUUCUGUGGUACUAAUUUGGUUGAGAAAUCAUAGGUACAUAUAUGACGAACAAUGAGCUCAAAAACUUUCCUUUGGGGGACUUAGACACCGAGGAGGAACAAGUAGAUGAGGUACCUCAAAAGCCACAAGCCAAUCAGAGAGGCCGGGUAUCACAUGAUAACGUUCCCGUUCCACCCCACCUCCACCACGAACGGCUCAACACCAGAUAUUGCCCAGCGAAGGUUAUGCUAGUGCAGUAGUGUCACGACCCAAAACUCAACAUGUCGCGAUGGCGCCUGUCAUGGUACUAGGCAAGUCGACAUAUCACGCAUACCACAUUUUUAAAUUCCAAUUUGGAACUGAAAUAAAUUUAAAUAAGUAAGAAUCUCAUAAAAGAUGGGUAUAAACAUUGUAACUCAGUACAAAAUUCUCCCAAAAGAUCCGGGUGUUAUGAAGUACAUGAGCAUCUACAUAACAAUACGGUCUAACCAAUAGAACACUAUCUAGGAAAGUAGAACAAUAUAAACAAGACUAAAAGAUAAAGGAGGAGAGUCAAGGUCUGCGGACACCAAGGCAGCUACCUCGAUGAUCUCCGAACUGAUGAACUGUCAGGAAUCAGCAACCGUCGUGCCCGAAAAUACCUGGAUCUGCACACGAAGUGCAAGGUAUAGCGUGAGUACAACCAACUAAAUAAGUAACAAUUCUAACCUGCGGUCUGAAAGCAGUGAUGAGCUCACACAAUAUAGUAAAACAUAGAGUUUAACAAUACAGAAAAGUAGACAUGCUUCUAGAUUCAACAGUUAAGUUCAGCACAGGUAAAAUAGGCCAAGUGUGACUGAUAAGAAGAGUAUGACAUCUCUAUAUCUACAUGCCAAGGUGAAUACCGUAUGUGAUGCAACACAGUGAAAUCCCAAGUANNNNNNNNNNNNNNNNNNNNNNNNUUCAGUCUCUCUGUCUCACAACACUCAUGCUAAGCAACCCUAAUCAAUGAUACGAUAUGUGAUAAUAUACGAUAACAGAGACUGAGAUAUAAUAUGUAAUGAUGAAUUUAACUGAAUACACAACUGCAGUUAAACAGAUAAAUCAACAUCAAAAAACAACCACUAUGGGUCCUAAUAGUACUAGCAUAUAGCCUAAACAUGAUUUCUAAUAUGAAUCACAGUUCAAGUGCUCUAACACAUAGAGUACAACAAAAAUGUUCGGAUAAAAUAGCUACGCAGUUCCAAGGAAUCAACUAGAUCACAAUUUCUAUAGUGCACACCCACACACCUGUCACCUAGCAUGCGCGUCACCUCAACAUAAAUCACAUAGCAUGAAAUUCGUGGUUUCAUACCCUCAGAACCAAGCUUAGAAGUGUUACUUACCUCAAAUUGUGCUAAACUCUACUCCAACAAGUCCUUGCCUCACGAAAUAGACUCUGAAUGUAUCGAAUCUAUCCACAAACAAUUUGAUACAAUCAACACGAGCCGAAGGAAUCAAUUCCAUAAGAAAAUACUAAGUUCUUAAUCAAAAGUCAAAAAGUCAACUCAAAAGUUAGCCCCCCGGGCCCACGUCUCGAAAUUCGAUAAAAGUCACAAAAUCCGGAAGCCCAUUCAAUCACGGUCCAACCAUACCAAAAUUACCAAAAUCCAAUACCAAAUUGACACCCAAACCCCCAAUUUAAACGCUCCAAAUCCCUAGCCUCAAACUCUAAAAUUAUACCUUAAAACCACACAAUCUACCUGGGAAUAUCAACGGGGAAACAUAAUUAUUGAGUAAAUUUAACCACAAGUGACUUACCUCAAGAACCCCUUCGAAAUUCCUCUCAAAAAAUGCCUAAUCCCGAGCUUGAAAUGUCCAAAAUUAAGGAAAUCACAAAACCCUCAAACUUAAUACUCUGCCCAGCACUUUUGCACCUACGGCCUCGCAGGUGCGAGAAAUCUUCUGCUUCUGCGGUUAGCCCAAGGCUCCAAUGCUUCCGCUUCUGCAACCACACACACCCAGGUGCGAGUCUGCACCUGCGGAAAUCCUUAUGUAUCCGCGCUCCACAUCCCCCAAUCCAUUUCUGCUUCUGCGCUCCAGUCGCUGCAUCUGUGGCCACGUAGGUGCAAAAAUACCCUCGCAUAUGCGACCACUGCACACUCACCUCCAGGACGCAUCUGCACUUCCCUGCUCGCACCUAUGACCACCACUUUGCACGUACGAUUGCACCAGAACUGGUGAGCUUCAGCAGCCUCUCAACUUCCAAAUUUGAUCCAUUAACUAUCCGAACUCCACCCGAGGCCCCCGGGACCUCGACCAAAUAUACAAACACGUCCUAAAACACGAUAUGAACUUAGUCUAUCCUUCAAAUCACAUCAAACCAUGCUAAAACCCCGAAUCGCGCGUCGAUUCAAGCCUAAAGAACUUUUAAACUUCUAACUUCUACAUUAUAUGCCGAAACCUUUCAAAUCACGUCCGAUUGACCUCAAAUUUUACACACAAGUCACAAAUAACACGACAGACCUACUCCAACUCCCAGAACCCCAAUACAAGCCCAGUAACCACAAAGUCCACUCUUCGUCAAAUUUCCAAAUUUCCAACUUUCAUCAUUUCAAGCCUAAUUUAACUAUGGACCUCCAAUCCGGAUAAGCUCCUAAGUCCAAAAUCACCCAACGGAGCUAACAAAAUUAUCAAAGCUACAUUCCGGGGCCAUUUACACACAAUUCAAUAUCCAGUCAAUCAUUUCAACUUAAGCUUCCAACCUUGAGACUAAGUGUCUCAACUCUUUCCGAAACCUCUUCGGACUUGAACCAACUACUCCGGCAAGUCACAUAACAACAAUUAAGCAUGGAAUGAGCAAUAAAUUGGGGGGGGGGAGGGAAUGGGACUACAACUCUCAAAAUAAUCGGUCGGAUCAUUACAAAUAGUCCCUCUCUAUAUUAGGGCGGGCAACUUUCAAAUCACCAACGUGAUGCUCACAUUACUUUAGCAGCAUGCGUUUUUUACCGGUGCACCAACUCAAAAUGCCUACAAACAUUUGAAGGAUUUUGUGCAUAUAUAUUGGAGGAGCAAGCAAAUGAAUGUUUCCGAGGAUGCAUUGAGGCUAAGGCUUUUUUCCUUCUCUCUACGGGGGAAAGACUUGGAAUGGUUGGAACAAUUGCCGAACCAUUCGAUCGACACUUGGGAUGAGUUGGCGGCAAAGUUCAUUUCUAUAUUUUUCUCUCUCGGGCACAUGGCUACACUUCGAGAUGAGAUCUUGGCAUUCAAACAAGAGCUGAAUGAACCACUACACUAAAUUUAUUGAGCGCUGUAGAACAAUGGUUAAGAAAUGUCCCAACAAUAAUAUGACGAAAAACAUGUUGCAACAAACGUUUUGUUGUGGGACUAACACAACCAACCAAUGUGUAGUGAAUCAACUUGCCAGUGGAAACUUUAUGACUAAAACUUAUGAGAAGGCGUGCGAUAUUCUAUAUAAGAUGGCGGAGACGUCAUCGACUUAGCAAUCCCGGGCCAAUAUUCUACUAGGUGAUCUGAACAUGAUCCGCCUCCACAAAGAAUUGCAAGACCAUGGGCAAGCCAUUGCCAAAUUGACCACUACCAUGACUUAACUAACAAAGGCCUAACUUAAUUAAGUGCAAGCUCCUUUGCAUGUUCAUGUUAUGGAGGGAGUAAAUAUUUUGGUGAAGAAGAGGAGGACCAAGGGUCCACAAAUGCAAAGUCGAGUGGAGAACGAUGUGCAAGAUGAUGAUGAUGAUGGUGGUUUUGAUCAAGAUGAUUCUUAUAAUGAGCAAGAGGAUAAAGUUCAAUAUGUGAAUAAUUUUCAAGGGCAAAGAAACAACUUCCAAGGCCCAACACAAUAAUAAUGGCGACCACAAAACAAUCAUGGCAAUUGGAGUUCUAAUAAUCAAGGGAGUUGGCAUAACAAUAAAAAUAAUUAAGGGGACUGGAGUGGAAACAACCAAGAAAAUUGGGGAGGCAACAACCAAGGAGGUUGGGGUAACAAUCAAGGCAACCGGGGGUCAGGUUUUCAAAGGCCCCUAAUGUAUCAACAACCGAGUAACCCACCUCCUUAUCCUUCACAUGGUUCAAGUUUUUCAAACAAUGAGAUAGGACGUAUUGAGAAUAUGUUCAAGCAAAUAAUGAAAAAGAAUGCCGAUUCGGAUGACCAACUUUUCUCACACAACACAUCAAUCCGCAACAUAGAAGUUCAAAUGGGGUAAAUCUAUCAAGCUCUAAAUUCUCAUCCUAAGGGUACAGUACCAAGUUACACGGUGGUAAACCCAAAGGGUGGUAACAAUACGGGGCAUGUUAUGGCGGUCAUCACAAGAAGUGGAAGAGGUGGGAAUGCACCCACCUCAAGUGGAAGGAGACUUGUUGAUGAUGAUCAAGUAAUGUAAGAAGAAGAGAUCCCGAACAAUGUUGUUCAAACAAAUAGGGAAGUUUGGAUUGAUAUUGAUGAUAGUGCGCAAGAGAUUUAAGAGGAGGUGAACCUGUCUAAGGAACACAUCAUUGACAUACAAAAACCGGUAGUGAAAAAGGCAAAGGCACCAUUGCCUAAGCCUCCACCUCCAUACCCUCAAAGACUUGCCAAGAAAAAUAGUGAGAAUCAAUUCAAGAAGUUUAUUCAAAUGAUGAAGAGUCUUUCAAUCAAUGUGACAUUGGUAAAAGCUUUGGAAAAAUGCCCGGUUAUGCAAAGUUUAUGAAAGAUCUUGUGAAAAAGAAGCGGUCGAUGAAUUUUGAGACUAUCAUAGUGAGAGAGAUUGUUCAUUCAAUGGAUCCUAAGUUGGAGGAUCCCGGUGCUUUCACAAUUCCUUGUACAUUUGGAAGUGCUGAAUUUGCUAAAGCUUUUUAUGAUCUUGGGGCAAGUAUAAAUUUGAUGCCCUAUUCGGUUUUCAAGACUUUUGGGAUUGGGCAACCUAGACCCAUUUCUAUGAGAUUGUACAUGCCCGAUUGUACCAUAAAAAGUCCGUUGGGUGUGAUUGAAGAUGUUUUGGUCCGAGUUGAUAAAUUCAUUUCUCCGACGGGUGUUUUCAUUCUAGAUUGUGAAGUUGAUUAUGAAGUGCCAAUUAUUCUUGGGAGAGCUUUCCUUGAUACGGGUAAGGAUCUUUGUGAUGUUGAAGUCAAAGAACUCACUUUCUAGGUUGGUGAUGAAAAAGUGGUAUUCCAUGUGUGUAAGUCCAUGCGGCAACCAAAUACCAAAUUGAGUGUGUUGUUUUGUGGAUUUGGUGACCGAUGUUAUUGUUGAUGAUACAAGUGCUAUUAUCAAUGUUGGUUAUAUGUUGGAGGUCGUCUUGCUCAACUUUGAUGAUUAUUAGAUGGAUAUUUUCAUGGAAUGUGUGAACCCUUUGCAAGGAAUGGGGUCGUAUAACUAUGCACCUGGGAAAUUGUAUUUGGAUCUUGAAAAUAUGAAGUCUCCUCCUACAAAGCUGUCUAUUGAAGAUCCACCUACCUUGGAGUUGAGGCCAUUGCCUAUACACCUUUGGUAUGUAUUUCUUGUCUUGUGCUCUACUUUACCGGUUAUUGUUUCCUCUUGUUUGACUAACGUGCAGAUAGAUUCUGUAUUGACGGUGUUACAAAAGAGGAAAAAGGCUAUUGGGUGGACCUUGGUGGAUAGUCUGGGUAUAAGCCCCACCUUUUGCAUGCAUACUAUCAAGUUGAAGGAUGAAGCUAAAUCAUCCAUUGAACAUAAAAAAAAAGACUAAAUGAGGUUAUGCAAGAAGUUGUCAAGAAGGAGAUUAUCAAGUGGUUGGUUGCCGAGGUUGUCUACCUCAUCUCCGAUAGUUCAUGGACCUCUCUGGUUCAAUGUAUCCCACAGAAGGAGGGAAUGACGGUGGUCACCAAUGAUAAGAAUAAAUUGAUUCCUAUGUGAACGGUAAUCGGUUGGAGGGUGUGUAUGUAUUAUCGCAAGCUCAACAAAGUAACAAGGAUGAAUCACUUUUUACUUCCUUUCUUAGAUCAAAUGCUCGACAGAUUGGCUGGCCAUGCUUUCUAUUGCUUUCUUGAUGGGUACUCGGGCUACAACCAAAUUCUCUUUGCCCCAGAGGAUCAAGAGAAAACAACCUUUAUAUGUCCCUAUGAUUCUUUUGCUUUCAAGUGUAUGCGAUUUGGUUUGUGCAAUGCAACGACGACUUUUCAAUAGUGUAUGAUCGCUAUUUUUACUGACAUGGUGGAGGACUACCUUGAAGUUUUCAUGGAUAACUUCUCAGUGGUUGGGGAUUAUUUUGAUGAUUGUCUUGUAAAUUUGGACAAAGUGUUGGCUAGAUAUGAAGAAACCAACUUGGUACUCAAUUGGGAGAAAUGCCAUUUAAUGGUUGAGGAAGGUAUUGUCCUUGGCCAUAAAAUCUCAAGGAAUGGAAAUAAAGUUGACAAGGAAAAUAUUGAGGUGAUUUCUAAGCUUCCACCCCCAACUUCGGUGAAGGGUGUGCGGAUUUUCCUAGGCCAUGCAGGUUUUUACCGGCGCUUUAUCAAAACUUUCUCUAAAGUGGUAAGCCCGUUGUGCAAGAUCCUUGAGAAGGAUGCCAAGUUCAAUUUUAAUGAUGAUUGCAUGAGAGAUUUUGAAUUGUUGAAGCUCAAUUUGAUAACUUCUCCCAUCAUCACCCUCCAAAUUGGAAUGUGCCUUUUGAACUCAUGUGUGAUGCAAGUGACGUAGCGGUUGGGGUAGUUUUUGGAAAACGUAUCAACUAGAUUUUUCUUCGGGUAUACUAUGAUAGUAAGACCAUGAAUAGUGGACAAGUCAACUGUACCGUUACGGAGAAAGAGCUCCUUGCUAUUGUGUUUGCAAUUGAGAAGUUCCGACCCUACUUAAUGGGUGCAAAAGUUAUUGUACACACGGAUCAUGCGGGCUUCGUUAUAUUAUGAGAAAAAAGUACUCCAAAGCUCGAUUGAUGAGAUGGGUACUCUUAUUACAAGAAUUUGAUAUUGACAUCCAAGAUAGGAAAGGUAGUGAAAACCAAGUGGCGUACCACUUGUCUCAUUUGGAGAAAGAGGGGAUGUCGUAUGAUGGCCUUGAAAUCAACGACUCCUUCCCCGAUGAGCAACAUUUGGAAAUUUCAAUGAAAUAGGUGCCAUGGUUCAUGGACUUGGCAAAUUUUCUUGUGUGUGGAAUCAUUUCAGAUGAGUUCUCUUCAAGCCAAAGGAAGAAACACAAAGAGAUUGUCAAGAUUAUUAUUGGGAUGAACAAUACCUUUUCCGGAUUUAUACGGAUGGGUAGAUUAGGAAGUAUGUACCGGAAGAAGAGAAAGGUGAUAUUCUUGGAGCUUGUCAUUCUUUGCCAUAUGGGGGUCAUCAUGGUGGAGCAAGAACAACGGCAAAUGCUUAGUUGUGAUUUCUAUUGUCCUACUCUUUACAAGGAUACUAGUGAUUUGGUGAAAAGAUAUGAUGAAUAUCAGCGGGCCGGUGAAAUCUUAAAGAAAAAUGAAACACCUCUCACAAACAUCUUGGAGAUUGAUAUUUUAGAUGUUUGGGGCAUUGACUUCAUGGGCCCUUUUGUAAGCUCUUAUGGAAACACCUACAUCUUGGUCGCGGUGGAUUAUGUGUCCAAAUAGGUUGAGUCCGUAGUUUUACCCUACAACGAGGCGCGAAGUGUAGUGGAUUUCUUGAAAAAGAAUAUUUUCACAAGAUUUGAUACUCCACAUGCAAUCAUAAGCGAUGAGGGGUCAUACAUUUGCAACAAAGCUUUUGACACUUUACUUAGAAAGUAUGGUGUUACUCACAAGGUCACGAAUCCCUAUCACCCACAAGCUAGUGGGCAAGUGGAAGUCUCCAACUGAGAGAUAAAGAGUAUCUUGGCUAACACGGUGAAUGCUAAUCGGACGGAUUGGUCCAAGAAGCUUGAUGAUGCGUUAUGGGCUUAUCGGACGGCUUACAAAACACCUAUCAGAAUGUCUCCAUAUCGGUUGGUGUUAGGAAAAGCUUAUCAUCUUCCAGUGAAAAUAGAGCACAAAGCAAUGUAGGCGCUGAAGAAGUUGAAUCUUGAUUGGGAUGUAGCUGCUAACUUGCGGGUUACACAUCUGAAUGAGUUGGAUAAGUUUUGGUACCAUGCUUAUGCAAGUUCGUCUUUAUACAAAUAAAAGAUGAAAUAUCUUCAUGAAAAAUACAUUUAGAACAAAGAGUUCAAGGUGGGCGAUCUUGUAUUGUUGUUUAACUCAAGGUUGAGAAUGUUUCCUGGGAAGCUAAAAUUCAAGUGAAGUGGUCCAUUUGAAAUUGUUGAUGUGACACCUUUUGAUGCAUCAGACUUGAAGAAUAAAAACAAUGAAGUAUUCUGAGUCAAUGGUCAUCGGGUGACGCACUACUUGGUCAAGGUUGGAGAUAGCCACCUGUUGGCGGUCAUUUACUUCACUUGAGGGUAUUAUGUGUCAUGUCGCGACGUUAAAUCAAACACUUUUUGGGUAGAAACCUAUGUUCUUUUUCUUUUUAUUUUGUAGUUAGAUGUUAUUUGUGUUCUAACUUGAUUUGAAGUGUGCUACAGGGUUGAGUGCAAUAUGCAAAAAGAGUGAACUAAAAAAAGUCUAAGUGUUCAAGGAUCUGCGAAUCACACUUUAUUUACGUGGACUGCACAAUUCUAUGUGAUGCAGCAAGAGGAUAUCCGCGGCCGCACAUUUCACAUGUGGACUGCACAAUUGAGAGCUAACAAGUGUGAAAAUGUGAACUCUCUGAAGUUAGAGUCUGUCAGUGCUAAGCUAAUCUGCGGUCACAAGACAUUUUGUGCUGCUGCACUCAAAAAUGUAUGGACCGCAUAUUAAGAUCAGAGAAGGAUGACCCAGAUGAUAGAGUGCGGACCGCACAUGGAAAUCUGCGGCCGCACUCGCCCCUUUUCUCUAUUAAACCUCUUUGUAUAAAUAGAAGUUUGGAGUUCAUUUUUCACUUUUCACUCUCCAAACAAUCAUUGUUGCUCUAUUAAUUUACUAAGAGAUUUUCACUAUCCCACACACACACCUACUUGUGCUUAUACACCUGGUGCACUCACUUUAUAUGGUAUGCUUCAUUUCAUGUUAAAUUUUUGUGCUAGUUUAUUUUUUAAAAUUUUAGUUUCUUUUUAGUCCAUUCAUUAUUAGAGUUCAUCCAUGUGUCCAUGUAGGGUAGAUUUGAACUUGUAAUGAUAAUACAUGCUCUAAUGGGAUUAGGUUAGUGAAAUUUCAUGUUUAUACCAUAUUGCCAUACCUAAUUGUACAAGUAAUUACAAAAUUUAAGUAGAAAAAGAUUGCUUGUACGUAAUGUUUGAAAUCUACGGCCGCAUUUGAAAUUGUGCGGUCAGCAGUUUGGUGUUUUAAACAAAUUGUUGAAGGCUAGUGCUUCUGCGGCCACACUUAAAAUGUGCGGACCGCAGAAUUCUGAGAGCGGCCACACUUAGCCAUCCAAGGUCUACCCUUUUUGAGACCCCUAUGUGCGGAUCACAAAUUUAUUCUUCGACCACAAAAUAGCCUCCGAACUGUCUUCAGAGAGAGGAUUCUGAGCCUCUGAGGUUUGAUUGUUUGAAGUGGGGUCGUACUUGCAAUUAUACGGACCGCAGAACUCAAUUCCCGUUGCCUGUUGUUUUGUCGUAACCUCACUAUGUGCACAAUGUUCUGCCUUGCCUACAUAAUUCUUGAAUGUGUUGAAUGAUCACUUGCAACUAACAAUAUUCUUUGCUUUGAUCCAGACAACGGUUCGAUCACGCAGCCACGAUGACACUACAAAAGGAAGAGGUAAAUCUUCUAGGGGUCGAGGUAGAGGUACCUUUCCCCUUGGCCAUCCCAAAACCAUCACGAAGAAGGACACAUUGGGUAGGGGGAGAGGUGUAGACCUCUCUGAGUCUAAUUCCUAUGUCCCGUCUAGGGAAGCUUCGGAGGGCAACUCAGCCUCUAUUCAGGAGGAGCAGACAGAAACACAGUCUAGGCCACAUGGGCGAUUCCAACUCAUGGAUGAGGCCUCAUCAUCUCACAGCACUUCCGAGGGGUCGAUAAGUGCUAGCCAGAACUCUGAGCCAGCAGCUACCCCAGACACAGAUGCACAGACUAUACAUGAUAUCCCCGAUGAUGGUAGAGGGGUAGAUGGUACAUCCACAGGUAUGGAGUAAGGGUGGACCAAAAGGUCUUCAGGGCCUAAACGGGCCUGAACCGGGUAAGUGGGCCUGGUCUGGUCUUCUGGGUCGGUUCUUCACUUUAGGACUGCUAGGCCCAGGACCAUUUACGACCGGGACCGGACCGGUCUUGGCGGGCCCAAACGGUCCCAACGGUCAAAAAUUUAAAACAAAAAUUUAAAAAAUAGUUGUUAGGUCUGCCAAAAUAGUUGUUGGCUAUUUACAAAAUAGCCAUUUAAUCCCUCCCCCCUUCGCACACACACACACAUUUUUGUUUUAACCCAAACUUUUUUAUAAUUAUACUUUUUUCCUAUUUUCAACUAUAAAUACCCCCUCAUUCUUUCAUUUUUCUCACAAAUCAUCAAUCUCUCUCUGAGUUUCUUCUAUAAUUGCUACUAUUGCUUACUUUAUUGUUACAAUUUGUGAAAAAAUUAUGAAGUUGGUGAAUUGAAGUCUUUAAGUCUUCAACGAUAAUCAAUUUUCAACAAGUUUCGUCAAUUUGGUAAACUCGUUCCAACUCUUAAUUUUUAAUAUUAUAGUUUUGAUUGUUUUAUUUAUUUUCUAUUAUUUGAUUAAUUAAGAUGACUUUCUUAAAAAAAACUUUUUGGUAAAAAUAAGGGAAAAAUCCAAAAGUGGCGAAUCUAGUGGCCAAUAUGUUCCUCCUCCACUACCCCCGGCUCCCGGACCCCGAAUCUAGUGGCCAAUAUGAGAGUCAAUUUUGCCAUAAUGUUGGAGCUGAUGAACAAUUAGACCAUGAAUUACUGAAUGCUCUUUAUUCCAAUCUAACUAUUGAUGAAAAUGAUAAGGAAGAAAUAGAUUUUGAUGAAACUCAAUCGGAUGACGAUAUACCCACUAGUCCUGCUCCUGAAGUUAACCUAACUAGUGAUAAUCCAAAUGAUGCUCCGUCUGAUACUCCUAUCACUGCCUCUACUUUUUCUAGACAACGUACCAAAAAGAGAGAAACAUCUAUUGUUUGGCCAUUUUUUUACUCAACUAAUUCCACAAAAUAAGGCUAAGUGUAAAACUUGUGGUAAGGAGUUAGCUUUUAAAUAUUUUGGAGGUCCGGGGGGGGGGGGGGGAGGGGGGGGGAGGGGGGGAAGGAACUUUGGCUAGACACAUAUUGAUACACCUUCAAGAUAAAGUCAAAUAUCUUCGUGCCAAAGCUUUGGCCGAGGGGACAUGUGUACCUACUCCUAGUCAGGCUGACCCUAGUACCGGGUCAAAUCAAUUUCAACCAGGAAUUAACACUGUUACCGGUGGUAUUUUAUAUUAUGAUACAAAAAAGAUAGGAAAGAAUUGGCAAAAAUGGUUACUGUUAUAACGGUUUAAUACUACUUAUAAAGGUUUUCCUCGUACAACCGUAAAGAGCGAUAUUUAUAAAUAUAAACAUGAAUAUGAACAAUAUUUGCGUUAUUUAUUUACUCAUAUAAAUUAUCGUGUUGAUAUUACAACUGAUAUUGGUAGUAGUAACGACUGUGAUUACCUUACUGUUACCAGUCAUUGGAUUGAUGAGGAUUGGAUAAUGCAAAAGUGCAUUAUUUCUUAUAGAAUAAUUAAUUCACAUCACACAGGGCAGUUUAUUGCUAGCACAAUUACGGAUAUUUGUAGAUAUUUUUACAUUAGUGAUAAAAUAAUGUCAAUUUCAAUGGCUAAUGCAACUAGUAACACAAAUGAUAUAACCUUGCUUACCACUAUACUAAGUCCUGCAUUUAGUAACAUUUUUUAUGUUAGAUGUAUUUUUUAUAUUUACCAUUUAAUUGUGGGUGAUGGUAUGAGAAUUUUAAAUAUUGAAAUUGAAAAGGUUAAAAUGGCUCUUAACUGACUUUUUUAUUCAAACCGUAGAAGUAAACUUAGAGAAUAUUUUAAAAGAUGCGAUGAAUUUUUCAGAGGGUGGGAAAAUUUAUAAACUUGCUAUUGAUUCUAUGAGAAAAAUGUUUAAAAAAUAUUUUUUUCCUAUUUUCCCUAUUUAUGGUGUUGCUGCUUUGUUAAAUCCUUGUAUUAAAUUAGGAGGUCCUCAAUUUUGGUAUGAAACUGUUUAUAAAGGUUUAGCACUUGAAGAUGGGGAGUUGUCUAAACUUCCGGAAGUAAUAGCCUCAAUUAGAAUAAAUGCUCAAACUAUUUAUAAUGCUUAUCAAGUUGCAUUAGAUCAUGCUAUACCAAAUGUUCCAACUCCUUCUUCUUCUGAUUCUUAAUCAUCUAAAAGAACUAUGGGAGUAAGAGAACUUAGUGCUUGAACGAGGUUUAUGGGUUCUCAAGGUUCUACUAGUAGUAUUUUUCAUAACUAAAUAAGUUUUAAGGUUAUUUGUCACAAGGAAUUGAGGAAGUGAAUCCCGUCGGCUCCUUUAAUCUUUUGGAAUGGUGGAAGGACAAAGAAAAAUACUUUCCGAUGCUUUCAAGGAUGACCCGAGAUAUUUUAACUAUUCAAGCUUCAACAGUGGUAUCGGAGAGCACUUUCAGUCAAGCAAGAUUUCAACUCGGUGAUUAUAGAGCGUCUAUGAGGGAGAGCUUGGAAAAAUCAGUACUUUUUAGAGAUUGGAUCCGUUCGGAAAGAAAAAAAUUUGGACAUGCUGAAUCACAACCAGAGGUAGACGAAGCUUACGAAGAAAUGCUAGCUGAACUUGUGGAGGAUUCUGCUUCGUCCGAAAGAGGUGAUGACCAAGCUUCUUUUCCGCCACUACCAACAGAAAUUUCUCCGGACCUUACUGGAUUUAUGAAGUUUGUAAGAGAUACCAUGUAACUUGUAUGAACAAAAAUUAGUAUGUAUUAUAUAACUUGUAUUUUGGUACAUCUUGAUUAGUUUUAUUUUUUUCUCAAUGAUGGUAUGAGCACUUGUUGUGCUCAUUCCAUAGGGGGAGAGGAAGAGUAAGAAAGAUAUUGUCAUAUUUUUUUAAUGUUAUAAUAAAAUUAUAAUGCAUUACUUUGAAUAUCUCUUUACAGUAUUUUUGUCUUUAAAUUUGAAUUAAAAAAUUUAGGUCACAAUUCUAUAAUAAAAUUUACAAGGAAUUACCUUAGAUAUUUUUAUUAACAUCUUUUUUUUCUCUAAUUUCUAUAAAAUUUCAAAAAUAAAAGUAUCCAUUGGGCCCACUUAGGCCGGUCUCUGGCCGAUUCCUACAAAAAGACCACCAGGACCAGGAUCGUUUGGCCCGUUUAAAUUGGGACCGGCCCGGUAUCGGGACUGGGACCGUUUGGACCGGUCUACUUAGCCUACCUAGGCCCGGGACCGGCCCACAUGCCACCCUUAGUAUGGAACGAUCGAAGAAAAAUGAGAUAUGGGAGGAUAAGUUAGUCAGCUUGGAUGCCUUCACUGAUUUUCGUAUGUGGUGUCCGGUGAGAUCCUUGACACUCGAGCGGCAGUUUCUAUUGAAGAAUUUGGAUAAAUACAACCCGGCGGUGUUGAGGCAGUUUAGAGCAAGAAAGGGUUGGAUGUAGUUUACUAGAGAUUUGAGGAUGCCAAGGAGUACCUUGUCCGAGAGUUCUACGCAAAUGUUUCUCUCAUCAAGAAGGGUACGAAGAUGACUAAAGUACGCAAUCUCAAGGUGAGGUUUGAUCAACACACACUAAAUACGUACAUAGGGUUUGAGGACUUGGAGUCGAAGGAGUAUCUAGAUAAUUGCGCAAUGAAAGAAGAAGUCCAACCUUGGCUAGCAGAGAUCUUAACACCACUAAGGCCACCACCACCAUGGAUUACUACUGGGGUUCCCAUUCAGUGAAAUAUAUAAGGAUGGCAAACCUUUGUUUGUGGUAGACUUGAUUCAUGCCAGAAUGAGACUCAUCUUCCUCUUCCUCAUGUUGUUCUUGUGGCUUUUAUCAUGGCCGGGUACCAAGGUGGAAAUCGAAGAAGCCAUUUGACUGGUAUUCAUUGAUGGAUGCGACCAACCCAAAUAAGAGAGUUCAACCUUCUACCACCAGGGGACAGUUUGAUGAGCCGCCAGUAGUAGUUGCCGAGACAGAUGGCAUUCCAUCUACCUCUGAUGAGCCUUCUUCUAGUGCUACUGAUAUGCCUCCGCAACCAUCUUCAUAUUCUACCACAGCCCCCAGCAGGGCAUCCCCUGCUCCAUCUCCGAGGCCAGUGCCCAUGCCUACAACUCCAUUAUUUGCUCUGCGAGUCUCCAGACAUUAGCGAGUCUCAACAACUGGAUGCAGACAACUACUUCAAAGUUGUCUGACAUAUCUAGUACUGUUGCAUUGUAGUCAUCUACACAGAUACCACAUGUUUCCUCUGAUCUUGAUGAGAAGUUGAAGAAGAUUCUGGACAACCAGAAGAUGAUCAUGGACUCUCUGGUACAACGCAGUAUCGGUUAUUGAUGAGUUGGCCAAAGAAGUGAAAAAGAUGAGGAAGUCCUAGGCAAGCAAGAAAUCGGUUGACAAGCUCAGGAAGGAGGUGACCAGACUUGUGAUGGUUGGGGAUCUACCUUUUGAUAUGUUACUUGACCCUACACUAGUCUGUCCCAGAUCCAUCGGCACCAUAUGCACCGGUUGCACCACCUGGCCAGUCUGAUGAGCAAUGACUUGCUGUCGACACUGCUGAGGCAGUGCGUGCGAUAUUUACCACUCCCGCCACGCCCAAAUUUGAUGAUGAUGGGAUAUAUUUGGCUGGUCCAAUGGGAGAUGAUGUUGCUGGGGAAAUUGAGAUGUCCAAGGAUUCUUAGGGAGUUUUCUUUGCCCUCUCUCCUUUCACUCUUAUUUUGUUAAGCAUUGGGGAUAAUGCUUACUUUUAUUCGGGGGUGGAGUUUAUUUGAUUUGACAUUGAAACAUUUUGGAUAUAUUUGGACUGUAAUAAUUGGAUGAUUCUAUUCCUUUUCUUAUUUAUAGUUUAUCUAUCUUUAGUAGUUAUUAUUCAUUAGCUUCUUUAUUUUUCCACUUUAGUUCUUAUUUUUUUAGUAGCUUUUUUUUUUAUGUUUUAAUAAGCCUUUGGUUUUAUCAAUGCUACGGUUCUUUCCAAAGGUAGUUUUUUGUGUGAACCGGGUGACUCGUCCCAACGAUGGAUGAUGUGACAACACUCUUAAGGGAAUGAGUCCAUUUUUGUAUUUAAGUAAUAAUAGUAGUAGUAGUAAUAAAUAAAAGGCCUAAUCAAAUCAUUCUCAAAAAAGAGUUAUUCAUGCUUUAUUUGGUACCAACACACUUAACUACGUGCUUAUGGUUUGAAACAAGGUUUUAAAAAGAAAAUAGUUCUAGUUAGUGACUUUGAAACUCUUGAGUUGACUUUGGUAAUCAUCAAGUGGUUUAUUGGACCAUAGUGAUCUUUUACUUGAGUGUGGUUGUUGUAGGCUCUCGACUCUAUCCUCUUUUAUGGUCUAGUUGCGUGAAGGGUGGGGUCAUUUGUAGCUAGUCCAAAUAUCCGUGCGAAUGGUCUAGAACUUUCCCCGAAUGUGCUUCAAGGCAAAACCCUAAGUUUUGCUUGGUUUGGGAAAUGAUUGUAGGCUUUCCUUGGUCUGUUUGAGCUUUCUGUUUCCAACCAAUGUCAUUAUCCCUAGUCAACCCCCUUUAAGCCUCUAGCCUUUCUUAUUUGAUAACCAUGUUAUAAGCCUUUACCCAUUUUUUCGUGAUCCUCUCUUGGCACCCAGACCUUCCUUAACACUCUUGUGAAAUAAGUGGCUUAAGGCAUAAGUUUGGGGGGAGAAUUGAGGGAUUUUAAGGAGGUAUCAAGACACAAAAAUAGAAAAGAAAUGAUCUCUAUGAAAAGAGAAGGCAAGAAAAGAAAAAGAACAAAAAGAAAAAUGCAAAAAAGAGAAUAGGUAGAAGGGUUGAUGGAUUCAAAAAGAGGUAAUGAUCCUUAACAUGAGCAUCAAGGGAGAAAAAGAAUGAAAUGAACAAGAAAGUGUGAUGUCAAGUCUCUCUAGCCCCCAAUAAAAAGAGAAUGCCUCUAAGAAUUGGUAAUUGUGAGCCAAGAAAUGAAAAUGUGGAGUGCUUAAGGCAAGGUGUAACUACUUACCCAUAUGGUAUCCUACCCUAAUCCAAAAUCCUUCAUUACAACCCCAAAUAAGUCCUACUUGGUUUUGAACCGAGUGAGCUUACAUUGGUGAUGAUCUACAUGAGGGGCAAGUCUAUGGUACUUGAAGCCGUACUUGUGACAUUCGAUUAUGAGAGAAAAGUGAACCUUUCAUGAAUCUUAAGAUUGAGUUCUAACUUUUGAAGUGAUCUUGGCACAUGGACGGUAGAGUAGGAAGAGUUUAGAUUCAACUAUGACCUACAUGAUAGAACAAGAGCCCUUGAUGAGUAAAGUCAAUUCUUGAAGCUCAAAUGUCACAUUAGAACUAUAUGUGCAUGAUACUUUGCUUGUCACCUUGUUGAUAAUGCAUGAGUAGUAUGGGUAAUUGUAGGUCCCAACUGAGUAUGAAUGUCUCACCAUUGACUCGUUGUAAAGACCUUUCACUCUGAGGAGGUAGGAACUAAUCUAAUUGCUUGAGGACAAGCAAAGACUUAAAUUUGGGGGAGGUGAUAAGUGUGGAUUGUGACCACUUAUUAGUACCUUUUUACUUUUGUUUUAUUCUGAAGGUGUUUAUUUAUGUUCUUAAAAUUAAUAAAAGUGUGCAAAUUGCAGGAAUGUUGGAGAUUUGGGCUCAAAUGAAGAAAUCCAACUCAAAAAGGAGUGUUCCGGCUCAAAAGGAAAGAAAGGGCGCAACAGAACAAAAGUGCAGUCCGCAAAAGUAUUUCUACGGCCGCAAAAGAAAGUGCAGAAUUCUCCUUGCGGCCGCAUAUCUAUUGUUGAAGCUAAGAGAUGGAAUGAAGAGAAGUGCGGACCACACACAUUUUGUGCGGCCGCAAAACAUGGUCGCACUGACAAAAAUUCAAAAAGUUUAAAGAGUAUGUAAAAUGACCAAGACGGGAAUGUGCGGCCGCAGAACCUCUCAAAGGGCAUUUUUGUCAGCAGGGCCACUAUAAAUAGACAUGAAUCGCUUUUUAGGUCAAAUUUUAAAGUUUUCUUAGCUGUAGCCAUUAUAGUUUACCAUUUUGGGUAAUUUAUAAUCAUUUUGGGACAAAAACAUCAUAGUUUACAACAACAACUAAACUAUGAUGUUUUUGUCCCAAAAUGAUUACAAAUUACCCAAAAUGGUAAACUAUAAUGGCUACAUCUAAGAAAACUUCAUAGUUUAACAUUUUAAUUUUAUAUUAUGGCUUUAAUUAGUGUUUUUCUUUGUUUUAUUCAUUUUCUAAUAUGAGUAGCUAGCCACUUACUAGAGUUUGUGUAAACCUUAUGGGUAUUUAAUUUAAUGCUUGUUUAUGAUUGAGUGUUUGUUAUUUAGCCUUAUUCAUGCUUUAAUUUUAUAAUUAAUAGUUGCACACAUUGAUUCAUGCAUUUUUGACUUGGUCUUUACUUGAGAAAGAGGGACCUAGUCUAAGAAAACUUGGCUAACAAGAAAUUGAACUAGUUAAGAAUUUGGUUAGCCUAAUUAAAUGGUUUGAACCAGAGAUUGGGAAAACCCGACUUGAGCUCAUUUCAACUAUUUAGCUUGAUAACCAUUAGGGCUUGAGAAAGCCAAAUUGGGCAAAAUCACUCUAUGAUCGAGAGGUAUUGCUUGGGUAACUUAGAGUUAAGAGCUAUAAUACACCCAUAAUAAAUAAAAUAUGUGUUAACGUAGUUAACCCGUUAGGCGAAUACCUAGGCGAAGGUUACAUCCCUAGGCUUUUUACCUUUUUGAAAACAACCAAAAAUAAUUAGUCAAUUUCUAGUUUCAUUUCUCUAGUUGAUCAUUGAUAGUGUAAUUCAUAGAAGUAAUUUGCAAAACCAACUUGAUUGGAAGUGUAUUUAAGUUUUUUCAUCUCCACGCCCAUUUUUAGAUCCUUGAGGAAAUUGACCUCGACUCAUAGUUAGGUACUAUUCUUCCAACGACCUCUUUCACUCAUUGUUGAGUGCGGAUUGGGAGUGGACCAGGGCUGCAAAUCAAGCAAACACAUACUGGAGGCAUGAUACAGCAGCAAAAAUACAUCAAGGAUCUGCUGAAGAAAUUUAACAUGUACUCCUUUAAGUUUAUUGACACUUCCAUUGACAUUGCAACUAAGCUGGACCUUGAUGAAGAAGGGAAAAUUGUUGAACAGAAACUAUAUAGAAGAAUGAUUGGGUCUUUGUUGUACCUCACAACAAGAAGGCCUUAUAUCGUAUUCAGUGUGGGACAGUGUGCAAGAUUUCAGGAAAAUACCAAGGAGUCUCACCUGAAGGCUUUCAAGAGGAUACUAAGAUAACUCAAGGGGACUCCUGACAUGUGCCAAUAGUAUCCCACAGGGUAUAGUUUUGAUCUAGUUGGUUAUGUUGAUGCUGACUAUGCGGGUUUUCAUGUUGACAGGAAAAGAACUUCAGGAACAACUCAUUUUCUAGAUUCUUGUUUGGUAUCUUGGGGAACAAAGAAGCAAAACUCAGUGGCCUUAUCCAUAGAUGGCGCUAAAUAUGUGGCAGUAGCAUCCUGCCGUGCUCAGUUGCUAUGGAUAAGACACCAACUAAGGGACUAUAGUAUUUUUGUUGAUUGUGUUCCCAUUUUUUGUGCCAACAUUAGUGCUAUAAGCACUGCUAAAAAUCCAUGUUAGCACAAGAGAACCAAGCACAUUGACAUUGGGCACCACUUUCUCAGAGACAAUGUUGAAAAGGGGAAUAUCUCAAUUAACUUUUAUAAAACUGAAGAUCAAAUUGCAGAUAUUUUUACUAAAUCUCUGAGUAAGGAUCACUUUGAAAGGAACAAACUAGAACUAGGUAUAACUAAUACUUCCAACUAGUUGAACCCCAAUGAUUGGCAAGAAAAAGUAUAAUUAGAUAUAGAUAGUCAACUACAAUGUGUUUGAUUCAGACUCAUACUUGUAUUAAGAACACACACAUGCUUAGAAAAAUGUGGUUGAUAACUAUGUUGUAUGAUACUAAUUUGUAGUGCUGAAGCUUUAUUGCAGAAACAAGUAAAGAGUUACUAAGGAGUUAGUUCUUCGACUCAGGUAUGUACCAUCUUGUCUUAAUUCACUAGGACUUAAUAUCCUUAAUUAUUGUAAUGAUCAUACUUCUAAUCUUGUUAUCUAUCUGUCAUCUAGUCAAAGAGAAAUGGGGAAUCCUAGAGCAAUUAGAGUUUAAUUACUUCUGAAAUCCUAACAGCCAAAGUAAUUAUUAUAAUAGUUACAUUAGAACUCAAAUUCGGUCACCCUCUCUCUUCCAGUCAAAUUAGGAGUAACGUCUUUAAAAGUCCCUUAUGAUCAGCUUCUCAGGCCUUACUGUUCAACUCAGACCCUAAGCAAUAAUCAAGUAAUAAUUCUCUCUUCUCCCUUCAUCGAUUUUUUUCUCUGAUCACCAUGCCUAAAUCUAGCCAAACCCCUUCUAAAUCCAAAUCAUCAUCCAAGACUGAAGUCAAAUCCAAGAACUUGAAGGCCAAAUCAAAGAAAAGUCAAACCAUCAAGUGAACCUGUACCAACACCAGCUGCUUCUCCAUUGAUAUCCUACACUAUACCUACACCAUCAUCCCUUGUUCCUGCUGCUCUCACCAUCCCCACCUUUACUGCACCUUCACUUCCAAAACUAACCACCCAUGCAUAUGUGCCUACUUCGAAAAAUACCUCUACGUCAACCAAGAUUAAGGCUACACCAAGAAAAUCUGUCAAGAAUGUCAAGGUAGUGCCUGAUGCUACUGCUCAAGUAGACACAAUGGUCAAGGAAGAUGUGGUUCAGGGGGAAUCAGUGCCAGUCACUACAAGUCACGUACAACUCCCUCCUUCAAAAUUAAAUGUUCUGGCAUUCUCUAUAGAUGUUUCACCCUUAGACACGCUUCCACCCACAAGUGAUAAACCACAAGUGGAGGAACUAAGUGUAGAAUAUAGUGCAGAAAAUCUGGAGAAAGAGGUAGAGACCACUAUUGUGGUGCCUGUGGUUGAGAGGGAAGAGAGUAAAGAACCAGUGCAAAAGGAGACAUCUGAUGGUCUUUCAUUCAGUUGGACAUAGGAUGAAGAUGAUACUGGGGGUGAAAAGGAAGAAUGAGUUGUAGGCAGUCAUAGGGAACAUACUACUCAAGACAUAGCUAAUGAAGAGGAAAAGAGUGAGAAUGAGGGAGAUUCUGGUAAAGAUAAGGAGAGUGAGACAGAAGAUAGGAUAUGUGAACAAAUGGAUGAUUCUAUAGAAGAAGAAAAGAAUAGUGAAAAAGAGGGUACUUCUAAGAGUGAAGGUGAGGAUAAAGAAAAGGCAAGUGAGAGUGAAGGAGUGGAUGAAGCAAGUGAGGAAGUGAAUGAAAAUAUAAGUGAGGAAUCUGAAG
rnacentral:lncRNA from 1 species